CCAGUGGCGCUUUGAUUGCUACCGGCAAACCGGCGCCGGCGUCAUUUCUUUCCCGUCAUUCAUCGCAUUUCUUUCAUUUGGUUGUCCGUGUAGAAUUCCGGCAAAAAUUCAACCGUGAAAGAUGGAUGGUGGAGGAAUGCGUGGUAGAGGAGGCUACUCCAGAGGGAUGAGCCGAGGGGACUUCACAAGAGGCCGUGGUGGACCCACCAGAGGCCGCGGUGGACCGCCUGGUGCUUUCCGAGGUGCGCCACGAGGAGGCGGGGAAUUCCAAGGGCAUGGGCGGGGUGACUUCACACCACGAGGUCGCGGAGAUUUCUCACGAGGUCGGGGUGGUGCUGGUGACUUCUCUUCGCGAGGCACUGGAGAGUUUGUCCCCCGAGGUCGGGGCUUUACGCCGCGUGGACGUGGGGGGCCUCCCACACGUGGUGACUUCACACCAAGGGGCCGUGGAGACUUUGCACCAAGAGGUCGUGGGGACUUCGCACCAAGGGGCCGCGGGGACUUCGCACCAAGGGGCCGUGGAGACUUCACACCAAGGGGCCGCGGUGACUUCGCACCACGGGGCCGCGGAGACUUCGCACCAAGGGGCCGUGGAGAUUUUGCACCCCGUGGAAGGGGUGACUUCAACACUGCGAGGGGAGGUGGCUUUGUGGGAGGACCACCUGUAGCUGGUGGACCACCAAUGCGUGGAGGGCCUGCCUUAAGGGGAGAUGCCCCACCGGGAGUUGGCCAUGGCAUGCUACCACCACGUGGUGGCAUGGGGGCUGGAGGACCACCUGCUAAGCGGGGUCGCUGGGAGGGACCCCCGAAUACGGGAGCUUCCUAUCAGGACAACUACUACAACAACGGAGCAAGCCAAGAUUAUGGUAACACUGGUGGCUAUGACGAUGGCUAUGGACAAGCACCUGUCAGUCGGAGCACCUACCAGGACUCGUAUGCAGCACCUUCAGACAUGAUGGGCAAUGGCUAUCAGGGUCCCGGAGUUGGAGUAGGUGGCAACGCAGGCGGCUAUGGCGAAGGUGCUGGUGGCUACAACACCGAUUACAACAAGCCCCCAAUGGAGAGGGGAGGUGGUGACUUCAGAAGUGGUGGUGCUGGCUAUGCACCCCCCGUUGGUGGCGUCGGUGGCGGUGGCGGCUACGCCAGCAGCUACGACGACAGGGGUUAUGGGGGAAGGCAAGAUGGUGGCUACGGGGGAGGACGCCCAGCGGCUGACAACUUCAGUGGAGCCUUCGCAAGUCCGUCAUUCUAUGGAGAGGGCACAGCACCAGUGGCUCCACAGGCUUACGGCCAAGUAUUUCACACUACCAUGACAUAAUCUCGUUCAUGAAAGCCAGCGUCUCGGCCGUUGCCGCUGCUACACAGAAGGAAGCCUCAUGCACCAUUUUACUCUUCGUAUACCACAUCUUCAAGUGUCUAUAAAGAAGUUAUAAUACAUAUGCAUGGCUAUGUGUCUUGCUUUAGUAAUGCCUAAUGCAGUCUAGGUGCAGUGACAAGUUCACGUAACCCUGUCCACUGCCAGUUGUGUUACCUUAACCUAUUUAUGCGAGCACAGCUUUCAACCUUGGAGUGUUUUGUUACUCUUUCACCUGGCAGAUGAGUAAGCCAUACCUACAGUACUUGCACAUGCUCAGCAUGGCAUCACUGUUGCAGCAAAGCUGCAAAUUUAUUACGAGUCUUUUGACCAAGUUGCAAUAAGUGCUGUGGAUGAUGCUGUGCUGCAUACAAACCAUCAUGAGUAGGUACUGAUGAAGUGCCAUUUACCUAAAUGGCUUGGCACGCCUUUGCAGUAAUUCAAGACAGUCUUGAUUUGCAACCAAAAAAAGAAGUUCCUUACUGUAAACACCUAAUAAUCCAGAGCACCUUUCAUCAUUUACAACUAGACAUAUGCUGCUUGCAGCUCAGUGCAGUAUAAACCUCUAUUGAAGCAAAUAUGCCAUGCUGUUAUGAAAAACAUCGCCUGCUUCUAUAUCCAUUUGUAUGCUGGUGCUGAGAAAGUGCAGCGAAGCGUUGCACGUGAACACUAGACCACAAAGCUUGGUUCCGCGAUGCUGAAAUCAAUUGCAUCCAAGGAUGAUAAGUACCACAGGUUGAAGCACCUUUCCUGUGAACGAGUGAGCAUCAAUAUUCUAUAGGGAUGUGCAUCAUUGGUGGAGAGCCAAUUGGAACUGAGUCCCACUGCACAUCAGAACUGAUGGCAGCCUGUCAACCAUGUUGGCCUGGCAAGGUCCCCAAGACCGGCAAUGGGCACAAGUCCCCUGUAGCACCUUAAUUGCUCGUGUCAAAAAUAAAGAUCAUAUGGAGGUUU